UGGGGAAUUUUGGACAAUGGGCGCAAGCCUGAUCCAGCCAUGCCGCGUGCAGGAUGAAGGCCUUCGGGUUGUAAACUGCUUUUGUACGGAACGAAAAGACUCUGGUUAAUACCUGGGGUCCAUGACGGUACCGUAAGAAUAAGCACCGGCUAACUACGUGCCAGCAGCCGCGGUAAUACGUAGGGUGCGAGCGUUAAUCGGAAUUACUGGGCGUAAAGCGUGCGCAGGCGGUUUGGUAAGACAGAUGUGAAAUCCCCGGGCUUAACCCGGGAACUGCAUUUGUGACUGCCAGACUAGAGUGUAGCAGAGGGGGGUAGAAUUCCACGUGUAGCAGUGAAAUGCGUAGAUAUGUGGAGGAAUACCGAUGGCGAAGGCAGCCCCCUGGGCUAACACUGACGCUCAUGCACGAAAGCGUGGGGAGCAAACAGGAUUAGAUACCCGUGUAGUCCCUGAGCGGGCUGGCAAGGCGCAU
rnacentral:rRNA from 1 species